GAAAGAUGCAAUAGAAGAGAAGCGGCGGAAGCAAUGGCGAAGGAAGCAAAAAAGAAUGAGUUCUUGUUAUGUAGCUCAGAGUGAGUUCUUGAACUUUAAGAAAGCUAAGAGAAUGAUAGAAAUAAGAUGAAGCCAAAGAGGUUAAAAAGAUAGCUACUCCUAAUUCAUAAUGAAUUCUUAUC